rnacentral:rRNA from 1 species
UGUUGCUUGCAAGGGCGUAUGGUGGAUGCCUUGGCAGACAGGACCGAUGAAGGACGUUUGAGGCUGCGAUAUGCCUCGGGGAGCCGCCAACAGGGCUUUGAUCCGAGGAUUUCCGAAUGGGGGAACCCACCGACCGUCAUGGGUCGGUACCGGCUUCGGCCGGGGGGUACGCAGGGAAGUGAAACAUCUCAGUACCUGCAGGAAAGGAUAUUCCGUGAGUAGUGGCGAGCGAAAGCGGAUGAUGGCCAAACCUUGCGCGUGUGAUACCCGUCGGGGGUUGCGCGCGGGGUGUUGCGGGAUCGCGUGCGCCGGCUCCGACGGGCCGGCCGGCAGUUGCAGAAAACCAUGUGUCAGGGGAACCGGGUUGAAUACCGGGCCGCAGAGGGUGAGGGCCCCGUACCUGAACGCGCAUGGUCUGCCGAUCGCGUCUCCCAAGUAGCACGGGUCCCGUGGAACCCCGUGCGAAUCCGCCCAGACCGUUGGGUAAGCCUGAAUAUUCCUGUCUGACCGAUAGCGAACGAGUACCGUGAGGGAAAGGUGAAAAGUACCCCGGGAGGGGAGUGAAACAGUCU